CCUCAGUGGCAUUCAAGAAAAUAUCUCCAGCAGUUCAGGUGAUUUAGCACAGCUAGCCUUCAUUACUCAGAUCCUGACCUCCCAACCAGAGCUGCUAUCAGCUGACAACAUCACCACAGCAGCUCAGAUAGCUAACACUCUGCUUCAGUCUGUAAAUAUCACAGAGGACAUCGCAGUGGCAGCUGUAACUACCAUCAGUCAGCUACUGAAUGCCAGUGGGGAGACUACACAGGAGAGUGAUGCUGUCCAGAGACUCACAGAGACCCUGGAGAAGUUUUCCCUGGACCAGCAGAAUAAUGUGUCCUUGGUGGUUCAGCCCAACCUGGUAGUCCAGUCUGUCCAAGUACCAAGUGACACAGUAGGGAUCCAGUUUAGUGCUCUGACUGGAAGUUCUGGUAAUUUUGUGGCCGACAGAAUUAAUCUCAACACCAAUACCUCUGAACUGAUAGCUGACAAAGGAGGUGCUACCGAUGUCCAGAUUGUCAUAA